UUUUUGUUGUAACCGCCUCACCUAUCUUCGAAUUGUUAUAAGCAUGUAGUAGAUGUUCACUAUUGCCACCCAAUAUCCUCUGAAGGCCCAGAUUUUCCUCCAGAAGCAGCUAAAGCAAAGGAGGCAGGACAGAAAGAGUCUAGCACAAAAAAUAUUGUAGAAUAUCACAAAAUUAUGGAAGGUAAAAUAAUCAUAUGGUGAAAUAUAUUUCUUUAUGAAAUCUCAUCUUUUUGCCAUAAUGGAUUUGAUGGUGUGUAUGGUAUAUUUACAGAGGAAAGAAGGCAUGAGUAAGGAAAGAAAAGACUCAAUGUCAAGGAAUGAAUAAGUUUACAAGAUCAACACUUGGGAAGAAGUCAAUGAAAACUCUGUGUUAAAGGGAUUCACGCUGGACAAAUGGUUCUGCGGCUAGUUGAAGCAAUUGGGUUGCCUACAAAAUAAUCAGACAACUCUGGAAUGGACUCUUUUUCCUUGGAUACAUAUUUGAAACCAAGUAUGCCUCUC